rfam:Triticum aestivum genome assembly, contig: Triticum_aestivum_CS42_TGACv1_scaffold_146074_2BS
UUUGUACUCCCUCCGUCCCAAAAUUCUUGUCUUAAAUUUUUCUAAGUACGGAUGUAUCUAGUUACAUUUUAGUGUUAUGUAAGACAAGAAUUUUGGGACGGAGGGAGUACUAC